rnacentral:rRNA from 1 species
AGAAUGAACGCUGGCGGCGUGCUUUACACAUGCAAGUCGAGCGAGGCGGGUAGCAAUACCCAGUCGAGCGGCGAACGGGUGAGUAACGCGUGGAUUAUCUACCCUGAGGUGGGGGAUAACCCCGGGGAAACUCGGGCUAAUACCGCAUGACAUCGAGAGAUCAAAGGGGGCCGCAAGGCUCUCGCCAUGGGAGGAGUCCGCGUACGAUUAGCUAGUUGGUAGGGUAAUGGCCUACCAAGGCGACGAUCGUUAGCCGGCCUGAGAGGGGUGAUCGGCCACACUGGAACUGAGACACGGUCCAGACGUCCUACCGGGAGGCUAGGCAGUGGGGUAAUUUUGGACGCAAGUUGGGCGAAAGCCGUAGACGCAGCGAACCGCCGGCGUGGGAGGACGAAGGUCUUAGGA